UACGGAGGGAGCUAGCGUUGUUCGGAAUUACUGGGCGUAAAGCGCACGUAGGCGGCUUUGUAAGUUAGAGGUGAAAGCCUGGUGCUCAACACCAGAACUGCCUUUAAGACUGCAUCGCUUGAAUCAUGGAGAGGCGGGUGGAAUUCCGAGUGUAGAGGUGAAAUUCGUAGAUAUUCGGAAGAACACCAGUGGCGAAGGCGGCCCGCUGGACAUGUAUUGACGCUGAGGUGCGAAAGCGUGGGGAGCAAACAGG
rnacentral:rRNA from 2 species